AUGAACGCUGGCGGCGCAUUUAAGACAUGCAAGUCGAACGAAAACGAACAAAUUAAGAAGAGUGGAAGAUUUAUCUGAAAUGAUUUUUAGACCGUGAGUUUUAGUGGCGGACGGGUGAGUAAUACAUAGAUAAUCUACCUUUUAGAGGGAAAUAACUAGGAGAAAUCCAAGCUAAUGUCCCAUAAGACCACAUUACCGCAUGAUAAAGAGGUCAAAGGAGAAAUCCGCUAGAAGAUGAGUCUAUGGCUGAUUAGUUAGUUGGUGGGGUAAGAGCUUACCAAGACAAUGAUCAGUAGCCGAGCUGAGAGGCUGGCCGGCCACAUUGGGACUGAGACACGGCCCAGACUCCUACGGGAGGCAGCAGUUGGGAAUAUUGGACAAUGGAGGGAACUCUGAUCCAGUGACGCCGCGUGAAGGAAGAAGGUCUUCGGAUUGUAAACUUAUUUUAUCAGGGAAGAAAUAAAUGACAGUACCUGAAGAAGAAGGACCGGCUAACUACGUGCCAGCAGCCGCGGUAAUACGUAGGGUCCGAGCGUUAUCCGGAUUUACUGGGUGUAAAGGGCGAGUAGACGGAACUGCAAGUCAGAUGUGAAAUGCUAGAGCUCAACUUUAGAACUGCAUCUGAAACUGUGGAACUAGAGUGCAGGAGAGGUAAGCGGAAUUCCUAGUGUAGCGGUGAAAUGCGUAGAUAUUAGGAGGAACACCAGUGGCGAAGGCGGCUUACUGGACUGUAACUGACGUUGAGGCGCGAAAGUGUGGGGAGCAAACAGGAUUAGAUACCCUGGUAGUCCACACUGUAAACGAUGGAUACUAGGUGUAGGCAUGAAUGUGUCUGUGCCGUCGCAAACGCAGUAAGUAUCCCACCUGGGGAGUACGGCCGCAAGGUUGAAACUCAAAGGAAUUGACGGGGGCCCGCACAAGCGGUGGAGCAUGUGGUUUAAUUCGAAGCAACGCGAAGAACCUUACCAAGUCUUGACAUCCUUCUGACCGGUACUUAAUCGUACCUUCUCUUCGGAGCAGGAGUGACAGGUGGUGCAUGGUUGUCGUCAGCUCGUGUCGUGAGAUGUUGGGUUAAGUCCCGCAACGAGCGCAACCCUCGUGAUUAGUUGCCUUGAAGAAAGGAACUCUAAUCAGACUGCCGUAGUUAAUACGGAGGAAGGUGAGGAUGAUGUCAAAUCAUCACGUCCCUUAUGUCUUGGGCUACACACGUACUACAAUGGGUGUUACAAAGAGAAGCGAAACCGUAAGGUGGAGCAAAACUGAAAAAAGCAUCCCUAGUUCGGAUUGUAGGCUGCAACCCGCCUACAUGAAGCUGGAAUUGCUAGUAAUCAUAGGUCAGCAUACUAUGGUGAAUACGUUCCCGGGCCUUGUACACACCGCCCGUCACACCAUGAGAGUUGAGAAUACCCGAAGUCCAUGUAAAAGUGGCCGAAGGUAGGCUUGAUGAUUGGGGUG
rnacentral:rRNA from 1 species